GGCCUCCGCGGGGAGGCCACGCCCUCUCCCGGUGCGGGUCCCGCUGCUGUCCCAAAAUAGGUCCUUUUCCCCCGGUGUUCACGAGGCUGAUCCACGCACAGAGUCGAGGAUGUGGCGUUACGCAGCAUUUGGGAAGCACAACAGAAAGGCAGGACUGGACAAGGGAGGGAUGAAGGCAGCCUUUGUAUGAGCUCCUGGGGAAGAAAGGAGAUGGUUUUGGUGAAAUAAAGGGCACACACACAAACCUA